ensembl:miRNA gga-mir-6547 gga-mir-6547
CGAGUACCACGCCGACGGGGGCAAGGUGGGAUGUGGGGACGGGGUGACGGGGAGCGCGGUGUCCCCAUAGGGUCCCACUCACCCCUCCAUCCACCCACUCAGGUCCCCAUCAAGUGGAUG